UGCAGUCGACGCGAGGUCACUUCGGUGGCGAGUAGAGUGGCGGACGGGUGAGUAAUACAUGGGAAUCUACCCAUUAGCGGGGGAUAGCCCGGGGAAACUCGGAUUAAUACCGCAUACGCCCUACGGGGGAAGGUGGCCUCUUCUUAAGCUACCGCUAUUGGAGGAGCCUGCGUUGGAUUAGCUUGUUGGUGGGGUAAUGGCCUACCAAGGCGACGAUCCAUAGCUGGUCUGAGAGGACGAUCAGCCACACUGGGACUGAGACACGGCCCAGACUCCUACGGGAGGCAGCAGUCGGGAAUAUUGGACAAUGGGCGCAAGCCUGAUCCAGCCAUGCCGCGUGUGUGAAGAAGGCCUUACGGUUGUAAAGCACUUUCAGAGUGAAGAAAAGCGGAGUGUGAAUAAUGCUCUGUCUUGACGUUAGCUCCAGAAGAAGCACCGGCUAACUCCGUGCCAGCAGCCGCGUAAUACG
rnacentral:rRNA from 1 species